AGAGACCAACUAAGUUUGUUAUUGGUAUGAAAGCUCAUACCAAUAACAAACUGAGUUGGUCUCU